GUGCCAGCAGCCGCGGUAAUACGGAGGAUCCAAGCGUUAUCCGGAAUCAUUGGGUUUAAAGGGUCCGUAGGCGGCCUUAUAAGUCAGUGGUGAAAUCUCCUAGCUCAACUAGGAAACUGCCAUUGAUACUGUAGGGCUUGAAUUAUUAGGAAGUAACUAGAAUAUGUAGUGUAGCGGUGAAAUGCUUAGAUAUUACAUGGAAUACCAAUUGCGAAGGCAGGUUACUACUAAUGGAUUGACGCUGAUGGACGAAAGCGUGGGUAGCGAACAGGAUUAGAUACCCCGGUAGUCCG
rnacentral:rRNA from 1 species